rnacentral:rRNA from 1 species
CCCUUCAGUGCCGGAGCUAACGCAUUAAGCACUCCGCCUGGGGAGUACGACCGCAAGGUUGAAACUCAAAGGAAUUGACGGGGGCCCGCACAAGCGGUGGAGCAUGUGGUUUAAUUCGAAGCUACGCGAAGAACCUUACCAGGUCUUGACAUCUUGCGCUAACCUAAGAGAUUAGGCGUUCCCUUCGGGGACGCAAUGACAGGUGGUGCAUGGUCGUCGUCAGCUCGUGUCGUGAGAUGUUGGGUUAAGUCCCGCAACGAGCGCAACCCUUGUUACUAGUUGCCAGCAUUCAGUUGGGCACUCUAGUGAGACUGCCGGUGACAAACCGGAGGAAGGUGGGGACGACGUCAGAUCAUCAUGCCCCUUAUGACCUGGGCUACACACGUGCUACAAUGGUCGGUACAACGAGUCGCUAACCCGCGAGGGCAAGCUAAUCUCUUAAAGCCGAUCUCAGUUCGGACUGUAGGCUGCAACUCGCCUACACGAAGUCGGAAUCGCUAGUAAUCGCGGAUCAGCAUGCCGCGGUGAAUACGUUCCCGGGCCUUGUACACACCGCCCGUCACACCAUGGAAGUUUGUAACGCCCAAAGUCGGUGGCCUAACCAUUAUGGAGGGAGCCGCCUAAGGCGGGACAGAUGACUGGGGUGAAGUCGUAAC